rnacentral:rRNA from 1 species
GUCCAGGUAGCUGCCUUCGCCAUGGGAUGUUCCUCCUGAUCUCUACGCAUUUCACUGCUACACCAGGAAUUCCGCCUACCCUCUACCACACUCUAGUCGCCCAGUAUCCACUGCAGUUCCCAGGUUGAGCCCAGGGCUUUCACAACGGACUUAAACGACCACCUACGCACGCUUUACGCCCAGUAAUUCCGAGUAACGCUUGCACCCUUCGUAUUACCGCGGCUGCUGGCACGAAGUUAGCCGGUGCUUAUUCUUUGGGUACCGUCAUCCCAACCGGGUAUUAGCCAGCUGGAUUUCUUUCCCAACAAAAGGGCUUUACAACCCGAAGGCCUUCUUCACCCACGCGGUAUGGCUGGAUCAGGCUUGCGCCCAUUGUCCAAUAUUCCCCACUGCUGCCUCCCGUAGGAGUCUGGACCGUGUCUCAGUUCCAGUGUGGCUGAUCAUCCUCUCAGACCAGCUACGGAUCGUCGCCUUGGUGGGCCUUUACCCCGCCAACUAGCUAAUCCGACAUCGGCUCAUUCAAUCGCGCAAGGUCCGAAGAUCCCCUGCUUUCACCCGUAGGUCGUAUGCGGUAUUAGCGUAAGUUUCCCUACGUUAUCCCCCACGACAGAGUAGAUUCCGAUGUAUUCCUCACCCGUCCGCCACUCGCCACCCAGAGAGCAAGCUCUCCUGUGCUGCCGUUCGACUUGCAUGUGUUAGGCCUACCGCC